rnacentral:rRNA from 2 species
UGGGGAAUAUUGGGCAAUGGGCGAAAGCCUGACCCAGCAACGCCGCGUGAGGGAAGAAGGUUUUCGGAUUGUAAACCUCUGUCCUAUGGGAAGAAGGAAGUGACGGUACCAUAGGAGGAAGCCCCGGCUAACUACGUGCCAGCAGCCGCGGUAAUACGUAGGGGGCGAGCGUUGUCCGGAAUGAUUGGGCGUAAAGGGCGCGUAGGCGGCCUGUUAAGUCUGGAGUGAAAUUCCUGCUUUCAAGGUAGGAAGUGCUUUGGAAACUGGCGGGCUGGAGUGCAGGAGAGGUUAGCGGAAUUCCCGGUGUAGCGGUGAAAUGCGUAGAGAUCGGGAGGAACACCAGUGGCGAAGGCGGCUAACUGGAAUGUAACUGACGCUGAAGCGCGAAAGUGUGGGGAGCAAACAGG